rnacentral:rRNA from 1 species
UACGUAGGGGGCUAGCGUUGUCCGGAAUCAUUGGGCGUAAAGCGCGUGUAGGCGGUCCGGUAAGUCCGCUGUGAAAGUCGGGGGCUCAACCCUCGAAUGCCGGUGGAUACUGUCGGGCUAGAGUGCGGAAGAGGCGAGUGGAAUUCCUGGUGUAGCGGUGAAAUGCGCAGAUAUCAGGAGGAACACCAAUUGCGAAGGCAGCUCGCUGGGACGUAACUGACGCUGGAGACGCGAAAGCGUGGGAGCAAACAGG